rnacentral:snoRNA from 1 species
AUGCUGUGAUGACGUUUUCAACUGUGGUUUCUGUUCACCGACGGUUGAAUGAGGACAGAUAAUUCCUUGGCUGUGUCUGAGCAU